rnacentral:rRNA from 1 species
UACGGAGGAUGCGAGCGUUAUCCGGAUUUAUUGGGUUUAAAGGGUGCGCAGGCGGAUUUUUAAGUCAGCGGUCAAAUCGUGGGACUCAACCCCAUCCAGCCGUUGAAACUGGGGAUCUAGAGUGUGCGAGAGGUAUGCGGAAUGCGUGGUGUAGCGGUGAAAUGCAUAGAUAUCACGCAGAACCCCGAUUGCGAAGGCAGCAUACCGGUGCACAACUGACGCUCAGGCACGAAAGCGUGGGUAUCGAACAGG